rnacentral:rRNA from 2 species
UGACCUCGGAUCAGGUAGGACUACCCGCUGAACUUAAGCAUAUCAAUAAGCGGAGGAAAAGAAACCAACAGGGAUUGCCCCAGUAACGGCGAGUGAAGCGGCAACAGCUCAGAUUUGGAAUCUGGCCCCUAGGGCCCGAGUUGUAAUCUGGAGAGGAUGUUUCUGGCGCGGCGCCUUCCGAGUUCCCUGGAACGGGACGCCGGAGAGGGUGAGAGCCCCGUACGGUUGGACGCCUAGCCUUUGUGAAACUCCUUCGACGAGUCGAGUAGUUUGGGAAUGCUGCUCAAAAUGGGAGGUAAAUUUCUUCUAAAGCUAAAUACCGGCCAGAGACCGAUAGCGCACAAGUAGAGUGAUCGAAAGAUGAAAAGCACUUUGAAAAGAGGGUCAAACAGUACGUGAAAUUGUUGAAAGGGAAGCGCCCGUGGCCAGACUUGUACCCCGCGGACCAUCCGGCGCCCUCAGCGCCGGUGCACUCCGUGGGGCGCAGGCCAGCAUCGGUUUUCCUAGGGGGAUAAAGGCGGCGGGAACGUAGCUCCCUCGGGAGUGU